rnacentral:rRNA from 1 species
AGAGUUUGAUCCUGGCUCAGGAUGAACGCUGGCGGCGUGCCUAACACGUGCAAGUCGAGCGGCAGCGCACCCUUCGGGGUGGCGGCGAGCGGCGGACGGCUGAGUAACACGUGGGAAUGUACCCCAAAGUGAGGAAUAACUGCCCGAAAGGGUAGCUAAUGCCGCAUAUGCUCUUAGGAGUAAAGGCUUCGGCCGCUUUGGGAACAGCCCGCGCACGAUUAGAUAGUUGGUGAGGUAAAGGCUCACCAAGUCGACGAUCGUUAGCUGGUCUGAGAGGAUGACCAGCCAGACUGGAACUGAGAUACGGUCCAGACUCCUACGGGAGGCAGCAGUGAGGAAUCUUCCACAAUGGGCGAAAGCCUGAUGGAGCAACGCCGCGUGCAGGAUGAAGGCCUUCGGGUCGUAAACUGCUUUUAUGAGCGAAGAAUAUGACGGUAACUCAUGAAUAAGGGUCGGCUAACUACGUGCCAGCAGCCGCGGUCAUACGUAGGACCCAAGCGUUAUCCGGAUUUACUGGGUGUAAAGAGUUGCGUAGGCGGCUCGUAAAGUGAAUAGUGAAAGCUGAUGGCUCAACCAUCAAAACAUUAUUCAAACUCACGAGCUCGAGAGUGAUAGAGGUUACUGGAAUUUCUAGUGUAGGAGUGAAAUCCGUAGAUAUUAGAAGGAACACCAAUGGCGUAGGCAGGUAACUAGAUCAUUUCUGACGCUCAGGCACGAAAGCGUGGGGAGCGAACCGGAUUAGAUACCCUAGUAGUCC